AGUUCUAAUAUAAACAUUUUUUUUUUUUUUAUUAGCUUCGCCAACUAGGGCAGGGUCACCACAACAGCAUCUGCCAAUUACUGUGGGCCCUUUUUUUUACCUAACCCACCCUGUCAACUUUUCCCUGUGGGAGGAAACCGGAGUACCCGGGGAAAACCCACGGCGUUCGGCAGAGCGUUGACUUUUACUCUUUUCACAUGGGGACUGCGUUCGAGUCGCACUGAGAAGGUACUUAGUGAGAUUCGAACCUGCAGCCUCAGAGGUGAAAGGCAAGUGCGCUAACCACUUGGCCACCGUAGCUCCUUCGUACCACUAGUAGCCCCUUCGUACCGUAACCACUUGGCCACCGUAGCCC